UUGGUGGCAUGUCAGCAGUAAGUGUCUGAUAUAUUCAGUGAUAGAUUCAGAUGUGCUGCUGGGGUUGGACUAGUUGAUCUCCAGAGGUUCCCUUCCUACCUUAAUUAUUGUACAGUUCUACAACUGCUUGGGGUUUUAUUUUGGUCUGAGAUCAAGUUGCAAGUGUUUCAGCAUGCCAGACUUCUUCAAUAAACCAGCCUGUAAUCCCUUUGAAGUGGAAUGUACUUCAAGCCAUACAAAGAACCAGCUGUCCAUGAUGAAGCAGAAAUCCUGGUAUGCUGUGUCUUCCUUGGGCUCCAUGGGUGUCAUGCUGCUGGCAAUUCUGCCAGGGAACAUCAAAUGCCUCAGCCUCCAGCAGAUACCGUGGUGGCUUGGAAAUAGCCCCUGGAAGUUCUUAUCAUCUUCAUGCCAGAUGUUUCAGACACUAAGCACCUCGUGGAACUUCAGUCAGAAAGAGAAGGAGCUUCUGGUAUGUUCUGUUAAAGCAGAAUAGUAAAUAUCUCCUUCAACACACAAUUUACCUGCAUACAGCUUAUGAUGGAAUCUGUUGCUUCCCUGGUUUUAUUCCCUUGAAGGGCAUUAACUCUGCUAUACAAAUUAGUAAAUGGAAUUAUCUGCAGAAAA